GGUCAGGGGUGUCAGGUUUGUCACUGGGCACAUGUUGCCUUUGUGGCUGCAGGUGAGACACAACCCACCUCUUCCAGGGAGACACAGACAGAGCAGGGCUAGGGGGGAUUAACUGAUGUCUGGAAAAUGCUAUGUUGAUGCAACCUUCUGCAGCUUAAUCUGCAUAUACCCAGGGCUGCGGGAUGAUUUUGCCUGCGACUUCCUUUCUCUUCGGCAGACACAAGCCGCUCCUUUGUUUGCACCAACAAUGCAGCACACACUUGCCCGGGAAGGGUGGGCAGUGCCAGGGCGGGGGGUGUCCUGCGCUGGCCAGAGGCUGCUCAUCCUGGCCGUGCUGCUCUGGAUUUAGUCUGCUGCCGCCUGAGAGGAGGCAAAGAUGCCCUCUAGGAUGCUCUGGCUCCCCUCCCCCAGCCUGCCCGGCUUCUCCCGGUCUCUGCAGGCUUUGCCAUCACAGUGGUGUCCUCUGAAGAUGCAGCUCUGGACCACGGUGGGGCUCUGAGCUCCUGGCUGGGGGCAGCAGCACGGUGCCUGCCCAGAGGAAGAAAUGUGGGGUGGGCUGAAUAAAACACAGAUUCAGCAGCUCAGAGCCCUCCCGUGUCUGACACUUGAGUGUGCUGG